AGCAGCCGCGGUAAUUCCAGCUCCAAUAGCGUAUAUUAAAGUUGUUGCAGUUAGAAAACUCGUAGUUGAAUUUCGGGAUCAAUUAGUCGGUCGUGCCUCUGGUACGUACUGGUUUUAUUGGUUCCUCCCUUCUGACGAAACAUGAUGUCAUUAAUUUGGUGUCGUGGAGAAUCAGGACUGUUACCUUGAAAAAUUAGAGUGUUUAUAGCAGGCUAACGCUUGAAUACAUUAGCAUGGAAUAAUGAAAUAGGACGUUCGACCCUAUUUUGUUGGUUUCUAGGAUCGACGUAAUGAUUAAUAGGGAUAGUUGGGGGCAUUAGUAUUCAAUUGUCAGAGGUGAAAUUCUUGGAUUUAUUGAAGACUAACUACUGCGAAAGCAUUUGCCAAGGAUGUUUUCAUUAAUCAAGAACGAAAGUUAGGGGAUCGAAGACGAUCAGAUACCGUCGUAGUCUUAACCAUAAACUAUGCCGACUAGGGAUCGGGAUAGAUUAGUUUUAAUUUUUAAUGUACUCUAGUUCGG
rnacentral:misc_RNA from 1 species